rnacentral:rRNA from 1 species
GGAAAGGCGCGCGAUACAGGGUGACAGCCCCGUACACAAAAAUGCACAUGCUGUGAGCUCGAUGAGUAGGGCGGGACACGUGGUAUCCUGUCUGAAUAUGGGGGGACCAUCCUCCAAGGCUAAAUACUCCUGACUGACCGAUAGUGAACCAGUACCGUGAGGGAAAGGCGAAAAGAACCCCGGCGAGGGGAGUGAAAAAGAACCUGAAACCGUGUACGUACAAGCAGUGGGAGCACGCUUAGGCGUGUGACUGCGUACCUUUUGUAUAAUGGGUCAGCGACUUAUAUUCUGUAGCAAGGUUAACCGAAUAGGGGAGCCGAAGGGAAACCGAGUCUUAACUGGGCGUUAAGUUGCAGGGUAUAGACCCGAAACCCGGUGAUCUAGCCAUGGGCAGGUUGAAGGUUGGGUAACACUAACUGGAGGACCGAACCGACUAAUGUUGAAAAAUUAGCGGAUGACUUGUGGCUGGGGGUGAAAGGCCAAUCAAACCGGGAGAUAGCUGGUUCUCCCCGAAAGCUAUUUAGGUAGCGCCUCGUGAAUUCAUCUCCGGGGGUAGAGCACUGUUUCGGCAAGGGGGUCAUCCCGACUUACCAACCCGAUGCAAACUGCGAAUACCGGAGAAUGUUAUCACGGGAGACACACGGCGGGUGCUAACGUCCGUCGUGAAGAGGGAAACAACCCAGACCGCCAGCUAAGGUCCCAAAGUCAUGGUUAAGUGGGAAACGAUGUGGGAAGGCCCAGACAGCCAGGAUGUUGGCUUAGAAGCAGCCAUCAUUUAAAGAAAGCGUAAUAGCUCACUGGUCGAGUCGGCCUGCGCGGAAGAUGUAACGGGGCUAAACCAUGCACCGAAGCUGCGGCAGCGACACUAUGUGUUGUUGGGUA